UAUCACAGCAAAGAUUGAGCGC
rnacentral:miRNA from 1 species